rnacentral:rRNA from 1 species
CAGCCGCCGCGGUAAUACGAAGGGGGCUAGCGUUGUUCGGAUUUACUGGGCGUAAAGCGCACGUAGGCGGAUCGAUCAGUCAGGGGUGAAAUCCCAGAGCUCAACUCUGGAACUGCCUUUGAUACUGUCGAUCUGGAGUAUGGAAGAGGUGAGUGGAAUUCCGAGUGUAGAGGUGAAAUUCGUAGAUAUUCGGAGGAACACCAGUGGCGAAGGCGGCUCACUGGUCCAUUACUGACGCUGAGGUGCGAAAGCGUGGGGAGCAAACAGGAUUAGAUACCCCAGUAGUCCCUGUCUCUUAUAC